AGAUUAAGUUAUUAAGGGCGCACGGUGGAUGCCUUGGCACUAGAAGCCGAUGAAGGACGUUACUAACGACGAUAUGCUUUGGGGAGCUGUAAGUAAGCUUUGAUCCAGAGAUUUCCGAAUGGGGAAACCCAGCAUGAGUUAUGUCAUGUUAUCGAUAUGUGAAUACAUAGCAUAUCAGAAGGCACACCCGGAGAACUGAAACAUCUUAGUACCCGGAGGAAGAGAAAGAAAAUUCGAUUCCCUUAGUAGCGGCGAGCGAAAUGGGAAGAGCCCAAACCAACAAGCUUGCUUGUUGGGGUUGUAGGACACUCUAUACGGAGUUACAAAGGACGACAUUAGACGAAUCAUCUGGAAAGAUGAAUCAAAGAAGGUAAUAAUCCUGUAGUCGAAAAUGUUGUCUCUCUUGAGUGGAUCCUGAGUACGACGGA
rnacentral:rRNA from 1 species